rnacentral:tRNA from 1 species
GGGCCCUUAGCUCAGCCGGUUAGAGCAGCGGACUCAUAAUCCGUUGGCCGUAGGUUCGAAUCCUACAGGGCCCACCA